UAAUGAUAUGCUUGUCUCAAAGAUUAAGCCAUGCAAGUCUUAGUAUAAGCUUUUGUACGGUGAAACUGCGAAUGGCUCAUUACAUCAGUUACAAUUUACUUGAUGAUUAGAAUUACACGGACAAUCGAAGUAAUCCUUGGACUAAUACGUGCGACGAGACCCGACUUUUUGGAGGGUUGUAUUUAUUAGAUAUGUGAACCGACAGCGCUUUGGUGCGUGUUUUUGGUUGAAGCAUGAUAAAGGAUGUUAACGAAUCGGGUGCAUUUUGCAGCCGAGGAAUCAUUCAAGUUUCUGCCCUAUCAACUUUCGAUUGUUGUGUAGUGGACAACAAUGGUCGCAACGGGUAACGGGGAAUUAGGGUUCGAUUCCGGAGAGGGAGCCUGAGAAAUGGCUACCACUUCCAAGGAAGGCAGCAGGCGCGCAAAUUACCCAAUCUCAAUACGAGGAGGUAGUGAAUAAAAAUAACAAUCCAGAGCUUGUUAAAAGUUUUGGAAUUGGAAUGAGAACAAUGUAAAUACCUUAACGAGGAACAAUU
rnacentral:rRNA from 1 species